rnacentral:rRNA from 1 species
GACCUACGGGAGGCAGCAGUGGGGAAUAUUGCACAAUGGGGGGAACCCUGACGCAGCGACGCCGCGUGAGCGAAGAAGUAUUUCGGUAUGUAAAGCUCUAUCAGCAGGGAAGAAAAUGACGGUACCUGACUAAGAAGCCCCGGCUAACUACGUGCCAGCAGCCGCGGUAAUACGUAGGGGGCAAGCGUUAUCCGGAUUUACUGGGUGUAAAGGGGGCGCAGACGGCAAUGCAAGCCAGGAGUGAAAGCCCGGGGCCCAACCCCGGGACUGCUCUUGGAACUGCAUGGCUGGAGUACAGGAGGGGG